rnacentral:lncRNA from 12 species
UGGCCAUUCCAUGUUCAUAUGGACUUUUACUAUCUCUUUAUAACUGAUUGAGAAUGUUUUCUGAUUUAUACUUAAAAAAAAAAAGUUUAAACUGCUUGACAAAUAUUUCAUUGUCCCUAUACAGCUCACUGCUGCCACUUGUUUGGAAAAAUGAAAGGUAAGUUGAAAAAUGCACCUUUUCCAUUUUCAUCUCUAAUUGAAUUCUCUCUUGACCCCCUUAUUCCCCAUGGCUGUAUUUCAGGUUUUGAUGAUAAGAAAAAGAAUUUUGUAUUUGGAUAAUACAAUUUUCUCACUUGCCUUCAGCGACCUUCAGCUCAAUUUCCUCUCCCCAGAGACACUGUAUAUUACAGAAUUGAAUCAAAUUCCUUAUUCAUAGAAAAAAAGUUCCAAUUUAAUCUGAAUAUUCAGCAUUUUACACUGGUCAGGGUGAUGGAUGGCAAAUUGAAAUGCUUUUGGUUCAGGUAAUCAAAUGGUAAAAUUCAGACUUGUAUUGAAAAAAAUAAUGAAGUCUAUUCAAUAUUCUCAUAAGGUGCAAAAAAAUGCACAUUACAUGGUAGAACUCGGGUUUUUUCUUAUUAUCUAACCAAUAACAUAUCCACUGCAAAAAGUAUAGUAAAACAUUAAGAAUUUAUGUAGGUUAGAACGUGUGAAAAGCAGCCACCUUUGGGGGAAAAUGCAGGCAUCGUUGUAAGAGUGCUCAG